AGAGUUUGAUCCUGGCUCAGAAUGAACGCUGGCGGCGUGCUUAACACAUGCAAGUCGAACGAUGAAGCCCAGCUUGCUGGGUGGAUUAGUGGCGCACGGGUGAGUAAUAUAUAGAUAACGUGCCUCUUAGUCUGGGAUAGCCAUUGGAAACGAUGAUUAAUACCGGAUACUCCUUCUAACUCUAAUGUUAGUCGGGAAAGUUUUUCGCUAAGAGAUCGGUCUAUAUCCCAUCAGCUUGUUGGUAGUGUAAGAGACUACCAAGGCUAUGACGGGUAGCGGGUUUGAGAGGAUGAUCCGCCACACUGGUACUGAGACACGGACCAGACUCCUACGGGAGGCAGCAGUGAGGAAUAUUGCACAAUGGAGGAAACUCUGAUGCAGCAACGCCGCGUGGAGGAUGACGCAUUUCGGUGUGUAAACUCCUUUUAUAUGUCAAGAAAAUGACGGUAGCAUAUGAAUAAGCACCGGCUAACUCCGUGCCAGCAGCCGCGGUAAUACGGAGGGUGCAAGCGUUAUUCGGAAUCACUGGGCGUAAAGGACGCGUAGGCGGGUUGGAAAGUCAGAUGUGAAAUCCUACAGCUUAACUGUAGAACUGCAUUUGAAACUUCUAAUCUAGAGUAUGGGAGGGGGAGAUGGAAUUAGUGGUGUAGGGGUAAAAUCCGUAGAUAUCACUAGGAAUACCGAAAGCGAAAGCGAUCUCCUGGAAC
rnacentral:rRNA from 1 species